GUCGAGCGAACAGAUAAGGAGCUUGCUCCUUUGACGUUAGCGGCGGACGGGUGAGUAACACGUGGAUAACCUACCUAUAAGACUGGGAUAACUUCGGGAAACCGGAGCUAAUACCGGAUAACAUAUUGAACCGCAUGGUUCAAUAGUGAAAGGCGGCUUUGCUGUCACUUAUAGAUGGAUCCGCGCCGUAUUAGCUAGUUGGUAAGGUAACGGCUUACCAAGGCAACGAUACGUAGCCGACCUGAGAGGGUGAUCGGCCACACUGGAACUGAGACACGGUCCAGACUCCUACGGGAGGCAGCAGUAGGGAAUCUUCCGCAAUGGGCGAAAGCCUGACGGAGCAACGCCGCGUGAGUGAUGAAGGUCUUCGGAUCGUAAAACUCUGUUAUCAGGGAAGAACAAAUGUGUAAGUAACUGUGCACAUCUUGACGGUACCUGAUCAGAAAGCCACGGCUAACUACGUGCCAGCAGCCGCGGUAAUACGUAGGUGGCAAGCGUUAUCCGGAAUUAUUGGGCGUAAAGCGCGCGUAGGCGGUUUUUUAAGUCUGAUGUGAAAGCCCACGGCUCAACCGUGGAGGGUCAUUGGAAACUGGAAAACUUGAGUGCAGAAGAGGAAAGUGGAAUUCCAUGUGUAGCGGUGAAAUGCGCAGAGAUAUGGAGGAACACCAGUGGCGAAGGCGACUUUCUGGUCUGUAACUGACGCUGAUGUGCGAAAGCGUGGGGAUCAAACAGGAUUAGAUACCCUGGUAGUCCACGCCGUAAACGAUGAGUGCUAAGUGUUAGGGGGUUUCCGCCCCUUAGUGCUGCAGCUAACGCAUUAAGCACUCCGCCUGGGGAGUACGACCGCAAGGUUGAAACUCAAAGGAAUUGACGGGGACCCGCACAAGCGGUGGAGCAUGUGGUUUAAUUCGAAGCAACCCGAAGAACCUUACCAAAUCUUGACAUCCUUUGACCGCUCUAGAGAUAGAGUCUUCCCCUUCGGGGGACAAAGUGACAGGUGGUGCAUGGUUGUCGUCAGCUCGUGUCGUGAGAUGUUGGGUUAAGUCCCGCAACGAGCGCAACCCUUAAGCUUAGUUGCCAUCAUUAAGUUGGGCACUCUAAGUUGACUGCCGGUGACAAACC
rnacentral:rRNA from 1 species